UUGCUUCUGCAGCACAUAAAUUAAAAUUGGAGUGAUACAGAGAAGUUUAGCAUGGCCUCUGUACAAGGUUUUAAUUACAUUUUUUUUCCUUUUCUUUUUUUUU